rnacentral:rRNA from 1 species
GGUCCAGACUCCUACGGGAGGCAGCAGUGGGGGAUAUUGCACAAUGGGGGGAACCCUGAUGCAGCGACGCCGCGUGGGUGAAGAAGCGCCUCGGCGCGUAAAGCCCUGUCAGCAGGGAAGAAAAUGACGGUACCUGAAGAAGAAGCCCCGGCUAACUACGUGCCAGCAGCCGCGGUAAUACGUAGGGGGCAAGCGUUAUCCGGAUUUACUGGGUGUAAAGGGAGCGUAGACGGCUGGUCAAGUCUGAAGUGAAAGCCCGGGGCUUAACCCCGGAACGGCUUUGGAAACUGAGCAGCUAGAGUGCUGGAGAGGUAAGCGGAAUUCCUAGUGUAGCGGUGAAAUGCGUAGAUAUACGGAGGAACACCAGUGGCGAAGGCGGAUUGCUGGACAGUAACUGACGCUGAGGCGCGAAAGCGUGGGGAGCAAACAGGAUUAGAUACCCCAGUAAC